CCCCUUUUUACCGUCCUGACCAUUGCCAUCGCCGCAGAGUCUCCCCCUCCCUGUGCGGCAUUGGCCUCCCGCUGGCUGGAUGUGCGUCCAGUGCAGUCCCCGGGUGCUGAGAGCCGAAAGUGGGAGCAGUUCCUGGUGGUGAUGGGUUCCCAUCUUUGUGUGCUGUGACAUUUGUCUCUCACUGAGUGUAUCAUUGCCGUGUGUGUGUGACCAAGCACGUGUGAUUGGGUGCCUCCUUCGGAUACUCAUUAUUAUCCACUGCUCUCCCACCGGUAAGCCUCAGCCCUCUUCCUGUUUUAUGUGUACAGUAUGUGAAUUUACAGUGUAAAAAUAAAUAAUUGUUUUUAUGGAACCAUGUCUCUGUCGGUUCUACGAACCUGA